CCUCUCCAUAGUCCCUGAACACACUGCCUCUAAGCAUGGAAUGGAGCUGGGUCUUUCUCUUCCUCCUGUCAGUAACUGCAGGUGUCCACUCCCAGGUUCAGCUGCAGCAAUCUGGAGCUGAGCUGGUGAGGCCUGGGGCUUCAGUGAAGUUGUCUUGCAAGGCCUCUGGCUACACCUUCAAAGACUAUGUUAUGAGCUGGGUGAAGCAGAGGCCUGGACAGGGCCUGGAAUGGAUUGGAUAUAUUGAUCCUGAAUAUGGUAAUACUGCCUACAAUGAGAAGUUCAAAGGCAAGGCCAAACUGACUGCAGACACAUCCUCCAACACAGCCUACAUGCAACUCAGCACCCUGACAUCUGAGGACUCUGCAGUCUAUUACUGUGCAAGACACAGUGUUGUAACCACAUCCUGA